AGACACGAGUUAUUUGAGGAAUUGAAAAAAAUGCAACAAUCUCUUCGAAUAAUACUCGCAUCUGACGGUGUUCGCAGAAAAAAAUAGAUUUAAUUUCCUCAGAGACUACACGCUGAUGCUCCGCCACAAGCGGAGAAAGAUAUAGUCCGAACUGCAUGGCGACAUGCAG
rnacentral:autocatalytically_spliced_intron from 2 species